AUUGAACGCUGGCAGCAGGCUUAACACAUGCAAGUCGAGCGGGGAAGGUUGCUUCGGUAACUGACCUAGCGGCGGACGGGUGAGUAAUGCUUAGGAAUCUGCCUAUUAGUGGGGGACAACAUCUCGAAAGGGAUGCUAAUACCGCAUACGUCCUACGGGAGAAAGCAGGGGACCUUCGGGCCUUGCGCUAAUAGAUGAGCCUAAGUCGGAUUAGCUAGUUGGUGGGGUAAAGGCCUACCAAGGCGACGAUCUGUAGCGGGUCUGAGAGGAUGAUCAGCCACACUGGGACUGAGACACGGCCCAGACUCCUACGGGAGGCAGCAGUGGGGAAUAUUGGACAAUGGGGGGAACCCUGAUCCAGCCAUGCCGCGUGUGUGAAGAAGGCCUUUUGGUUGUAAAGCACUUUAAGCGAGGAGGAGGCUACUGGUAUUAAUACUACCGGAUAGUGGACGUUACUCGCAGAAUAAGCACCGGCUAACUCUGUGCCAGCAGCCGCAGUAACAC
rnacentral:rRNA from 1 species